rnacentral:rRNA from 1 species
GGACUCAUAUUGAAACCUAGUGAUUUAUGAGUUAGUGGCGGACGGGUGAGUAACGCGUGGAUAACCUGCCGUAUACCGGGGGAUAACACUUAGAAAUAGGUGCUAAUACCGCAUAAGCGCACGGCUCCGCAUGGGGCAGUGUGAAAAACUCCGGUGGUAUACGAUGGAUCCGCGUCUGAUUAGCUAGUUGGCGGGGUAACGGCCCACCAAGGCAGCGAUCAGUAGCCGGCCUGAGAGGGUGGACGGCCACAUUGGGACUGAGACACGGCCCAAACUCCUACGGGAGGCAGCAGUGGGGAAUAUUGCACAAUGGGGGAAACCCUGAUGCAGCGACGCCGCGUGAGUGAAGAAGUAUCUCGGUACGUAAAGCUCUAUCAGCAGGGAAGAAAAUGACGGUACCUGACCAAGAAGCCCCGGCUAACUACGUGCCAGCAGCCGCGGUAAUACGUAGGGGGCAAGCGUUAUCCGGAUUUACUGGGUGUAAAGGGAGCGUAGACGGCAGCACAAGUCUGGAGUGAAAUCCCGGGGCUUAACCCCGGAACUGCUUUGGAAACUGUGCGGCUGGAGUGCAGGAGGGGUAAGCGGAAUUCCUAGUGUAGCGGUGAAAUGCGUAGAUAUUAGGAGGAACACCGGUGGCGAAGGCGGCUUACUGGACUGUAACUGACGUUGAGGCUCGAAAGCGUGNGGAGCAAACAGGAUUAGAUACCCUGGUAGUCCACNCCGUAAACGAUGAUUACUAGGUGUCGGGGGACCAAGGUCCUCCGGUGCCGGCGCAAACGCAUUAAGUAAUCCACCUGGGGAGUACGUUCGCAAGAAUGAAACUCAAAG